rnacentral:rRNA from 1 species
GACGAACGCUGGCGGCGUGCUUAACACAUGCAAGUCGAACGAGACGAUUGAAAGCUUGCUUUUAAAAGUCGAGUGGCAAACGGGUGAGUAACGCGUAGACAACCUGCCUUUGAGAUGGGGACAACAGUUCGAAAGGACUGCUAAUACCGAAUGUUGUAUAUUUUCCACAUGGAAGAUAUAUUAAAGAUGGCCUCUAUUUAUAAGCUAUCGCUAAAAGAUGGGUCUGCGACUGAUUAGCUGGUUGCUGGGGUAACGGCCUACCAAGGCGACGAUCAGUAGCCGGUCUGAGAGGAUGAACGGCCACAUUGGGACUGAGACACGGCCCAGACUCCUACGGGAGGCAGCAGUGGGGAAUCUUCCACAAUGGACGAAAGUCUGAUGGAGCAACGCCGCGUGAGUGAAGAAGGGUUUCGGCUCGUAAAGCUCUGUUGUCGGGGACGAAUGUGCAGUAUUUGAAUAAAAUACUGCAAUGACGGUACCUGACGAGGAAGCCACGGCUAACUACGUGCCAGCAGCCGCAGUAA